CCAGUUUAAUCACGUUCACAAUAUGUGAUUCGAUAACAUCUUCAACAGCAUGAGCUGCAUCUACAAUACGCAUCUCCAGCGGAUCAGCUUCAUCUCCGUCAGCAACAGGGGACUUAUAACCUUCAAGAAAUUCCUGCAAAAAGGUAAGAAUUUGAGUGAGAGAUUCAACUUGUUGUUUGUCGAUAGAAAUUGGAGGGGAAUGGUGAUGCUCGAUUGUAUCGAUGAUAUGCAUAAGAGAAACCAAGGCUGCAUAUGCCGCCAUGAUCCAAGGAAAAACACUGUAUAUUUUUCUGAGAAAGAAUUUGAUGGAAUCUGAGUUUAGGUUCAGCAAAAACAAUGUGUAAAAUGGCUAUAUCUCCUCAAUUAUUAUCACAAACAAUGUGUCCUUGACGUCAUUUAACUAUGCGCUGAUUCAAGUCUUUAAAAAUAAGAAUAUAUGAGUAGAGUAGGUGAGUGAUGUUGAUUUCCAUGUUCUAAUUCAUGCAUCCAAGAAUAAACUAUGAUUAAUGAUGCUCAACUUGGUUGGUAUUCACCCUUGAAAUUUCCGAAUAGGUUGAAGACAGUGGGUAGAUUUGUACAAGAUUAAUUUAGAAAACAACAUGCAAGUCGUCAAGUUGGUAUAUAAAAUAUGGAAUUUUGAAAAAAAAAAAAACAAAAAUUGCAAGUUGGGAAAGUUGUCAUAUUUUGUUUUGUUUGAAUCUAAUUGAUGUUUUUUCCUUUUUUAAAUCCUGAAGUACAUGUCAGGAUCCGCCUAAACAUAUUGAAACACAAGGGAAUUCAGCAACAAAAAUGGUCGAAAAAACAAGCUCAAUGUUGUACCAGGAAGAGAGCAGUUAUUUCCCUAAAAAAAAAAAAAAGAAGAAGAAGAAGGAAGAGAGCAGUUAUUUAAGCAUGACAAAAAAUGCAACAUAUUUCUAAAAAAUCUAUCUUAAAGAUUCAACUUUCAAUUGGAAAUCAAAUUCAAAAUUGAAUAGCAAACUUGUGAUUGUAAUAAAAUUAAAAGUUUAUUUAUAAAUUAUAUCUUCUUUAUUUUCUUUUUCUUUAACUUCUUGUAUUUUUUUUUGUUUUUUUAUUCUUUUUAAAAUAUUUAAAGGACGAAGGGAGUAUAAAUUAGUUGUAAAAUUUUAAGCAUCAAUUUCCACUACCAAUUAAUUCAAACUAGAUUUUCCAUUCGUGCGAUGCACGAAAAAUAUUUGACAUCUUUAAAAAUUUUAAAUUUUAAAUAAGGGAGCUCAAUCCCAACACGCCCAGCCCAAUGAAUUAAAUAGAAAACAAAAUCGGGUGCAGCCGAAUAAAAAUAAAAACCGGCCCAAAUGCUAUUGUAUACGUCAGCCCAAUCAAAUAAAAAUAAAAGGAAAUUGGGCCAGCUAAAUUUAAAAGGAAACGGCCCAAAUAGAAGCCCAACCCUCAAGCCCCAACUGGAAUGUGGAUGUAUGAUUGUUUUGUGGUAUUUUGCAUGCUGAGUGAUUCUUCGCUUAGUUGUGAGUGUGUUUGUUGGUGUCAAGGAUUUCAAAUUCAUGCUGUACUUAUGGGAUCAUCGAGCGUGAGGAUGAUGGUGGAUGUGUUGAUCGUGAGGAGGAUCGUGAGAAGGAGGAGGAUAAAGAAAGUAAAGAAAGUGAAGAGAAAUUUGGUUUAUUCGAGUUUGAUAAUCUGAAACAGAAGGAUAAUAAAUAUAUGGAAAGGAUGAACGAAAUAGAUAAAAAACUUGAGGAGAAACUGGCAGUGUUGGAUUAUACUUUUGGAAGGAAGGGGAAACUAUUGGAGGAGGAAAUUAGAGAUCUUGCGGAACAUUGAUCGAACAGAAGAGACAGCCUCUUUAUAGGAAGGUAAAUACAUGCAUCUAUCAAUCUUUCUUUCUCAGCUAUCCUCUGUGAUUCCCUAUGUAUUGAUUCCAGUUGGAUUUUAUGAUCUACUUAUCACCAGCUGCUUUGUUAAUCCUGAAUUCAAGUACCUAUUGCGUGAUCAUGUAGAUGGGGUCCCUAUUCUUAUCGUUUACCAUUUGUUUCAAGUCAUGUUUUCUAAGAUAUGUUGCAUCGAAAAUUAUUAAGUUUGAAAUUUGAGAUUGUUUAUAUGGUAAGUUCACAUUUGAGCUAGCAAGUAGUACUAUUAUACUAUGCCACUGCAGUUUAUUGUCAUGACAGAUUAUUUUCUACUUUAACCACAAAAGGUAUCAGAACUAUACAUGCAUUCAAAUUCAUACUGUCAUGCUUCUUUAUGCUGCACGUGUGUAAAUUUGGCUUGAAAACUAGACAUGCUUAUAUACUAUUGUCUGAGAAUGUGCAGUAAACUCUAAAAGGUAUUAUGCCACUGGAUUGUCUGUUCAAAUAAGAAAACGUUUCAAUAUUUAUAGAAACUCAUCGCGGCAUCUGUUAUUUAUAGUUUAAUAUGUUAAUGGCCUAUUGCCACAGGCAUAUGAGAAGUGCUUUCAGAAUCUGCAUUAUGUAGAGCGGCAUGAGGAUCAUACAAUUUCACAUGCAAUUCAGACAUCAUAUAAAAAGACUAAGGUAUCGUCAAAUUUCUAGUUGUAUAUCUUUGUUGAUGGUUGAAAUUGAUAGAAAGCUGUUUUUCUUCUUUAGGGAUUUUGGCCUGAAAUUUUUAAGUGCUUGUAGGUGUAUCUUUGGCCAGCUCCUACACAAUCAGGGAUGAAGGCAGGCAAAACUGUGGAGUUGAUUCUUAACUUAGCUGGUUACAGGAAUGUGAAAUCAAAGGUAUAAAAGUUGAUGCCAUAUUGUGCCUAUAUACAUGAACUUUUAGUGAAUUCUGGUUUUCCACAUGAACUAAAUAUCCCGCCUCCAAAUACACGAACUUUUAAUUGUUCCGAUUUUUCACACGGCUAUCAAUUUUCGGCGAUCGUGGCUAGUUAAAGUGACAAAUUAAUAUCAUCGUGACAAGCUGAAGUAGCGUAUAGAAAUCCAAGUACCUCGUCUAGCACAUCAAUUGUUUAAACCAUGUAGGCAUUUAAGGCAUCCACCUCAACAUUAAUUUGGGUGCAAUUGAUAAUCGUGUGAAAAAUCAGAACAAUUGAAAGUUCAUGUGUUUGGAGGCAGAUUUUUUAGUUUAUGUGCAAACUAGAAUUGAUUGAAAGUUUGUGUAUUUAGGCGCAACUAACCCAUUGGACUUUGCAAUUGCUUAAAUUUUAAUUAAUUGCACAAUUUUCAUCAAAUUUGCCUCUUGAAUUGAAUAACAUGGAGUAAUUUUUUGAGAUAAUUGAAUAACACAGGUCUAGCAGAUUUUUGUUGUCUCAUAUGAGUACUACUCUUGUUCAAUCUCAGGUUUACAAAGAAACAAUAUUAUCCGUGGAUAGAUUAAUCUCUUGAGCAUUUGGGAUGCCCAAGCUGCUAUUUUCUGAAUCGAGGUUAUAUAAUAGGGAAAACAAAUGACGCAGUGCCGGUGGCAAAAAGAUGCUGAAAGGAGAACCACUUUGCUUUUCUUUUUGAAAUGUGGAAUCAAAAUUGCUGAAAUUGAGGAGCAUAAUCAAUAAAAUGCUUUUAGUUUUGCAUAGUGAACUAUUCAUACCAAAAUUAUUUUUCUUCAUGCAGUUGCAUAUUUUAGUUGAUUAUGGUUUUAGGCUUAUGCUCUUUCUCUGUCUCUCAUGAAUUGUGUUAAGGAUAGGAAAUAACGUUGAUAUGGGCACUUAAUUUGUAAGAUUUAGAUUCCGUUCCACAGCUUCACUUGGUGUAGUUUUGUACCAGCUCUUUUAAAUAUGUAUUUUUCCUUCAAAUUAUUAACUUGUAAAGACUUCUUAUCCAUUCAUUGCGUGCAGAAAAUAAAUCAAAGUGGAGUACGAAUGAUAUAUAGACAUUUCUCUUUUAUAGAGAGGAACAACGGCGUCAAUAAAAAUAAGUAACAUUUCAUGUGAAUUAUUUCAACUUAGAUAAAUGAAAAACUUGAUGCCAUAUUUGGAUUCUAGCGAAAAAAGACAAGAGGCAGUCUUGUCUCUUGUGUACCAUCGGUGGCACGGUGCCACCGGGUUUUCUACAACCUUUUUUUUUUGAUAAGAAGGAUACCAGUUUCAAACCCGAAUUUGCUAAAUGAAUCAUGGUUUGGCGUGGGUAUGACCCGGUGGCACGGUGCCACCGGUGGUACACAAGUAUUUGUGAAAAGACAAUGCAUAUGUGGAAUGCAUUUGUAAGUGACAAAUAAGAUAGUGAAAAGCAUUAACAAUGAAAACCACACAUUAAUCUUGUCUAUUUAGUUAUGUAUUUAAAUAAAGAACACACUAAUCUUUUGUCUGUUGGUAACUUCACUUUCUUCGGUCGUGUUCUUGAAAAUACUACUGCUUUAUUGCUUUUGAUAAGAAGGAUACCAUUUUCACAAAUAAAAUACUAUACACAAAGUACAUUUGCACAAGAUAAAUAAUCGAUUGCACUGCUUUGCUUUGCUUGCUCUUGUUUUUAGCCUUUAGGUGAGUUGGAUGUUACAAUAUGAUAAUCAGAUAUUGUAGUUCCUGCGUCACAUUAUUUAUAGCCUAUGCAUUUUCGGCACAGAGAUUAAGGAGAACAAAAUUAAGAUAAAGAUGUGUGUCACACGUGUUUAGUAUUGUGUUUAAGGAAUUUUUUAUUGUUCUUAAUUUUACCAAGGAAAAUGAAUUUUUUUCCCUUUCACUUUACUUUUUAUUUAUAUUUUCAGAUUAUUUAAUUAUUGUAUUUUCGAAAAUACAACAUGGCAAUUAUAUGAAAUUUAAAGGAAUCCGCACACACUGAAAUUUAAAGGAAUUAAAAAAAAAUAAACUGAAAAUUUUCAUUUCAUUAUGGCGCUAGUUUUUGGCUGCCAUUAUCCUCAAAACCAACAAAAAGAAAUCUGCCAAUCUCUAAAAUUUCAUUCAAACAACUUAAAAUUUUCAAAUUUCCCACAAUUUAUAUGUUUUGAAGAGUGAUAACAUUGUGUCUUUAUCACGUGUAUAUGUUUUGAAGAGUGAUAAUAUUGUGUGCUUUAUCACGUGUAUAUGUCUAUUGUUUUAUGAAGAAUGUUGAUAUUUCAUAGUUAGUUUCUUUUUCCCAAGAUACUUGGUUGUCAUUCAAUCAACUAGGUCACUCAUACAAGAAAAAAGUUGUCCAUAAAAAUCACAAAAUGGGUGUUAAAAUGAGACAAAGUUAGAAAUAUCCCUAAAGCUUAUGGAUGAAGAUCAAGUCAGCGAGCACUAAACAGAGGUGAUUGCUGAAAUCGAGGGACGUGCAACUUUUAUACAUUGAGUAAUUUUAAAUAGUUUAAACUUAUUUAAAAGUGUGAUUGGAAUGAGAUUAUUGUAUGUUUGUGAUUAGAAUAAUAUGAUACUAUUACAUUAUUGGCCUUAAAAUAGAUUAAAAAAUAAGGACAUAAUAGGCAAACUAAAUUUGGUAAAACCAGACACUUUUAUAGUAGGUAUAGAUUAUAGAUACUAAUUAAACAUAUGAUUAAUUAUGUUGCUAAAAAUUAAAUAUAAUUAAAAAAAGCUAAAAAGUUAUAUGAAAAUUAAUCCUCAAAUUAGUAUUCCCACAAUUAAUUCCUCAUCACAUCAAACUACAUGAUACACGAAAGUUGGGAGUUGCCAAGCUCUGCAGUUCUUGGCUGACGUUGACUUAACUAGAACAUGAAGGUGGUCCCUUGUAAUUCCUCUUGUUCUCUACUAUCUUUUUCAAAGACACACCAUUGAUUCACUCAACAAUAAUUAUUUGAGUUGUAUUUCUCCAAUUUCUGAAGGGAACUCCUCAACGAUCAUGACGCAGAGAAAGUUGCUCAAGGCGUGGCAAGCAGGAGCCCUCUAACGUCCAACAUUCCAUAUCCCACACUCCCACAACAAGUAUUUGAGCUGGGGAAUUGGCCUUCAACUAUUUCCCACUGCGUUUGCAAACUGCCCAACAGUGAGCUUCUCAAGAAGUGGUAAUGAACUAUCUUUUCCAGAAUUUCCUCCAAAUGAAUUCGCUCCAAGAUACAGCUUCUUGAGUGAGGCGGGAAGCUAAUACUCUGCGAUACUCAUCAUCACUUCCAUUCGAAUAAGCACCAAGCUUUCCAGCUUACUCAGACAUUGAAGAUAGCUGAGGCACUUCACUCUGUCUCUCCAUUACUUAUCCUGGUAUCUUAUACAGUUUCUUGAUAUUGGGAAUUCUCUUAACCACUUCUUCAUUCAAGUUGAAAUCAACACUCCUUUGAGCGUCUCUAGAUUCUCCAUCAUAACAUCACUAUGCCCGCUCGAGGAUCUGGGAGAUACAUUCCUAUUCUCGAACUGACAUGCUUAAGCUGAUGCAUUUUCCAAAUUUCUAUGGUGCAGUCGUAGGUUACCCUACAAGAAACAAUUAGUGUUGUAGAUUCCAGAGCAGACUAAUUGAAGAAGGGAUUUGGAACCCUCACGAAAUCUCAGCGAAAGGUACCUCAAGUUCACCAAUUGAAACACAUUUUCUUCUAAAUACUUCUGGAAACUUAUAUGUAGUCAAUGUCCUCAAAAAUCAAAUUGAAUUUUUCUGGCACUAUAAAUGACAUAUGAAAGAACGAGCACGUGACAUAGUUCCAAGGCAUCUGAUGUCUAUUGAAGUGCUUGGGAAUAAAAUGCGGCGUGGCUAUUUAUCCCUCGAGGACAAUGUUGCCUAAGACAUAAUAAAACCUCUGCUUUUCAGCUUCUUGAAAUGAUAAUCUCUCAGUAAAUCAUGCAUUUUGCAGUCUUUAUAUUCCCAACUCCCCCAACUCAUGAACUAGAAUGAGGUUUCUAUCACUAGCUCCUUCAGAUACUCUUGGCAAUUGUUUCCAAGCUUUUAUUGAUUAUUGGUUUAAGAAAGCCUUCAGAAACCCAUAACCUCAUGAGUUCUGACCCUAAUUUCCUCAUCUUCCCCAAACAUCCCCAUGUACAAAAAACAAGGCUUCAGAUAGGCAGGCAAAUGGUCAUAGCUCAGUUUCAAUACUUCAAGCAAUAUUCAUCAUUUUCGAAUUCACUAUGGCUUAAGUUUUUCUCUAUGUGCUCCCAAUAUUCAAGUGUAAGUUCGGACUUUGCCAAAAGACCCCCAAUCACAGCAAUCGACAAAGGAAGUCCCUUACACUUCCCACGAUUUUCUUUCCGAUUUCCUCAGUUGAAGAGGAAAACCUCACCCCAAAUACAGUUUUGGAGAACAAAUCCAGCUACAAACAUCAUCUAAAAAUCUCAUACCAAUGUGUUAGAGUUGUCAACUCGCAGCCAAGUUUGAGAGCCUAGUGUUACGAUUACUCGACUCCCAUCAUUGUAAUCGGGAAAGAAAAACCUCAUCUUGUCCCACACCUCUACACUCCACAUAUCAUCCAGUAUAAAUAUACUCCUACCGCAUAAAUACUUGUACAAUUUUCUCCCAAUUCGUUCUCACUCAAAUAUCACUACCCAAUUUCCAUACUUGUAAGAACUUGACAAGUGUUUCUCUAAAUUAUAAGUUUGAGAAAUUGUAGUCCACGCACAAAUAUCAAAAUGCUCCUUAACAAGGGCAUGCUCAAAUAUAUGUCGGGCAAGAGUGGUCUUACCAAUCCCGCCCAUCCCUGUGAUUGGGAUGAUUUGGCGGUUACGGUGCCCUCCAGUGAGCCAAUCCAAGAGUUGAAGUUACACGUCAUCAAAGCCCACCAUCAUGCUUUCCUUCACAUUGGAAGAGGAUGUCAAGGAGCCAGCAUGAGUCGAGGAGACCUUUCUCUGCAGCUGAGCUUCGGCUGAAGUCUCCAUGGCUUCCUUCUUGAUCACAUUCAUUUCUUCUAUCACUUGCUGUAGAUCUUGAUAGAAGUCGAUGCAACUGACUUCCUCUCUAGAAUUCACUUCUUCAGCCGCAUGAACUGCAUCUACAACAUAGCCUUGGAGAAAUAUCUGCAAGAAGGUAAAAAUUUGAGUUAGAGAUUCAUUUCUUCUAUCACUUGUUGUAGAUCUUGAUACAAGUUGAUGAAACUGACUUCAUUGGGAUUGGGACUAGAUCUACCCAGUUUAAUCACAUCCACAAUAUGUGAUUCGAUAACAUCUUCAACAGCAUGAGCUGCAUCUACAAUACGCAUCUCCAGCGGAUCAGCUUCAUCUCCGUCAGCAACAAGGGACUUAUAACCUUCAAGAAAUUCCUGCAAAGAGGUAACAAUUCGAGUGAGAGAUUCAAGUUGUUGUUUGUCGAUACAAAUUGGAGGGGAAUGGUGAUGCUCGAUUGUAUCGAUGAUAUGUAUAACAGAAACUAUGGCUGCAUAUGCC
rnacentral:lncRNA from 1 species